UACGGAGGGUGCAAGCGUUAUCCGGAUUCACUGGGUUUAAAGGGUGCGUAGGUGGGCUAGUAAGUCCGUGGUGAAAUCCCUGAGCUUAACCCGGAAACUGCCAUUGAUACUAUUUGUCUUGAAUACUGUGGAGGUCAGCGGAAUAUGUCAUGUAGCGGUGAAAUGCUUAGAUAUGACAUAGAACACCAAUUGCGAAGGCAGCUGGCUACACAAAUAUUGACACUGAGGCACGAAAGCGUGGGGAUCAAACAGG
rnacentral:rRNA from 1 species